ACACAUGCAAGUCGAGCGGUAACAGGGGUAAUUUAUUACCUGCUGACGAGCGCCCUACGGGUGAGUAACGCGUGGGAACAUGCCCCAAAGUGAGGAAUAAGCCCGAGAAAUCGGGUCUAAUGCCGCAUAUGAUCUUCGGAUUUCAGGAUUUAUCCGCUUUGGGAGUGGCCCGCGUUCGAUUAGGUAGUUGGUGAGGUAAAGGCUCACCAAGCCUACUUUCGAUAACUGGUCUGAGAGGAUGAUCAGUCAGACUGGAACUGAGUUACGGUCCAAACUCCUACGGGAG
rnacentral:rRNA from 1 species